GAUGAACGCUGGCGGCGUGCCUAAUACAUGCAAGUCGAGCGAACAGACGAGAGUGCUUGCACUCUCUGACGUUAGCGGCGGACGGGUGAGUAACACGUGGGUAACCUACCUAUAAGACUGGGAUAACUUCGGGAAACCGGAGCUAAUACCGGAUAAUAUUUAGCUUCGCAUGAAGCAAUAGUGAAAGACGGUUCUGCUGUCACCUAUAGAUGGACCCGCGGUGUAUUAGCUAGUUGGCGUGGUAACGGCUCACCAAGGCAACGAUACAUAGCCGACCUGAGAGAGUGAUCGGCCACACUGGGACUGAGACAGGGCCCAGACUCCUACGGGAGGCAGCAGUAGGGAAUCGUACGCAAUGGACGAAAGUCUGACGGAGCAAUGCCGCGUGAGUGAAGAAGGUGUUCGGAUCGUAAAACUCUGUUGUAAGGGAAGAACAAGUACGUUAGUAACUGAACGUACCUUGACGGUACCUUACCAGAAAGCCACGGCUAACUACGUG
rnacentral:rRNA from 1 species